UACGGAGGAUGCGAGCGUUAUCCGGAUUUAUUGGGUUUAAAGGGUGCGUAGGCGGAUCGUUAAGUCAGUGGUCAAAUUGAGGGGCUCAACCCCUUCCCGCCAUUGAAACUGGCGCUCUUGAGUGGAAGAGAAGUAUGCGGAAUGCGUGGUGUAGCGGUGAAAUGCAUAGAUAUCACGCAGAACCCCGAUUGCGAAGGCAGCAUGCCGGCUACCGACUGACGCUGAAGCACGAAAGCGUGGGGAUCGAACAGG
rnacentral:rRNA from 1 species